GACGAACGCUGGCGGCGUGCUUAACACAUGCAAGUCGAACGGUGAAGCGCCUUCCUUUUUGGUGGGUGUGGAUGAGUGGCGAACGGGUGAGUAACACGUGAGUAACCUGCCCCCUUCUUCUGGAUAACCGCAUGAAAGUGUGGCUAAUACGGGAUAUUCUGGGUCUGUCGCAUGAUGGGUCUGGGAAAGAUAUUGUUUCGGUGGGGGAUGGGCUCGCGGCCUAUCAGCUUGUUGGUGGGGUGAUGGCCUACCAAGGCGGUGACGGGUAGCCGGCCUGAGAGGGUGGCCGGUCACACUGGGACUGAGACACGGCCCAGACUCCUACGGGAGGCAGCAGUGGGGAAUAUUGCACAAUGGGCGCAAGCCUGAUGCAGCGACGCCGCGUGAGGGAUGGAGGCCUUCGGGUUGUGAACCUCUUUCGCCAGUGAAGCAGGCCUGCCUCGUUUGUGGGUGGGUUGACGGUAACUGGAUAAGAAGCGCCGGCUAACUACGUG
rnacentral:rRNA from 1 species